GAAAUGCGAUAAGUGAUGUGAAUUGCAGAAUUCAGUGAAUCAUCGAAUCUUUGAACGCACAUUGCGCCCGCCAGUAUUCUGGCGGGCAUGCCUGUUCGAGCGUCAUUUCAACCAUCAAGCCCCGGGCUUGUGUUGGGGACCUGCGGCUGCCGCAGGCCCUGAAAACCAGUGGCGGGCUCGCUGUCACACCGAGCGUAGUAGAUUCUCAUCUCGCUCAGGGCGUGCUGCGGGUUCCGGCCGUAAAACAGCCUUAUUUUACCCAAGGUUGACCUCGGAUCAGGUAGGAAGACCCGCUGAACUUAAGC
rnacentral:misc_RNA from 1 species